UACAGAGGGUGCAAGCGUUUGUCCGGAAUUAUUGGGCGUAAAGAGCGCGCAGGCGGUCUGCCAAGUCAGAUGUGAAAGAGGCCGGCUUAACCGGCAAGGGUCAUUUGAAACUGACAGACUAGAGUGCAGCAGAGGAUAGCGGAAUUCCCGGUGUAGUGGUGAAAUGCGUAGAUAUCGGGAGGAACACCAGUGGCGAAGGCGGCUAUCUGGGCUGCAACUGACGCUGAGGCGCGAAGGCUAGGGUAGCAAACAGG
rnacentral:rRNA from 1 species